GAGAGAGAGAGAGAUGAGAGACGAGAUCUAUAACUUUUUUUUUUUUGUCAAAGAGAACAUGAACGAGCAGAUCUAUAACUUGAAGGUAGAUGGAUCCUUAACCAUGAAAGGUAUCUACUUCGAUUUUCUCAUUCAAUUAAAAAUGGGUUUCUCUGCAUGAUUCAAAUUUUUUCAAUUAUCUUCAUCUCUUUACUGAGUUAGAGAGAGAGAGAGAGAGAGAUAGAGGAGGUCAAGAUCGUGUCUUUGAUUCAAGGCAGAGGGACCUUUAUCCAGCAUUCAAAUUUGAACUUUGAUUUGCAACUUCAACCGUAUUUACUUCUUUACCUUGAAUUUCUCAAAUAUAUAUAUAUAUAUAUAUAUAUAUGUUUGCUAAUGAAUUUGCUGGAUUCAUGCCGAAUUCAGAAUGAAAUUCUUUUUAUGAUUCAAAUUUUUCUUUUGAUAUUUAUGUGUGAGUUAUUUUUUUUCUUUUCUUAAUUUGUGUUUUUGAUGCUAGUACUCGAUUACUACCAACCCUCAAUAGCUUUACUCGAUUACUAUUGAGUACUGAACCUCAGUGGUUUAUCCAAAAGUUGCCUAGGGAUUCUCUUAUGGUGAAUCGUUAAAAACAUGACAGCUAGAGUCAAAGGUUAGCUAAACUAACCACCUUUGGAAAAUUAUCAGCACAAAGGAAUUACACCAAUCAAUAGCUAUAAUACGCAUAUCGUUUUGUGAAAAGAAGAAUGGUAUGGUUUUGUGGUCUCUCAAUAAUCACAUUCCACAGUGAGUCCGUAAAAAGAACACAAGUUAACAAUCAAAAUUUGAGUAGGUCAGUUAUAUCUGACCUUCUCCCACUUUCAUCCACUUCAACAAAUGCAUGUAUAUCCAUGAGCAUUUACAAUAUGUCAAUAUAAACUUACCCCCUUAAUUUAGUUGGGACCAUAUAUAGGGGAGCAGGUCACCUAAUAGCAAAAGCUACAUGUCAAGUUUGCCAAUGAACUGAAAAUUUCUGUUGAAUGUUUUCAAGGCUAGCUAGAAAAAUCAAGACCCUUUAAAACCACACCAAUUUUUGGUUUCUGUUCAUUUCUUCAUUUUAGGUCAUCAUCAGUUGGGUUUCUAUCCAUUCAAGCAAAGUACAUGUAUCUUCUGGAAAAAAAAAAUAGCAAAGUACAUGCAUGUGACAUUUAUAUUCUAAACUACCCCAUUUAAUUGGGACGGGAAAUGUGUAACAAGUUGUUUAGUAGAAGAACAAGUUAAAUGCAAUUUUUGAUGCUAGGCUUUUAUGAAUAUGGAGCCCCAUUUCACCAAAAGGUACCUCUGUACCGUCCAGUUAUUGUAUAUAAUUGUAGUAGGAUGUAUAUAAUUGGACUUUUUAUAGAUGAAUAGUUUUUAAUUUGUUGUAUUCAUAUGUAUAGUUAAUGCAAUAUGUGUGUGUAUCAUGGGUUAAGAAUCAGAAAUUCACAAAUAAGUAUAUGUAAAGACCUUAAAGCAGAGUGGAGAGAGAGAGCGAGCUAGCUUGAGUUAACGAGAGAGGAUGAGAUUUCUAAAUAACUAGGGUAGGCUGGUUAAAAACUUUAUGCAUGUAUAAGAAAAACUUUUGUUGUAAAAAAAAAAAAAAACUGCAGAUAGUGGAUAGUUAUGUGCAGAGAAAAUAGAUUCAGUAGAUAAUUAUUUAUGGGGUUGGUAGUUCUCCCACGUAUUUAUUUAUCUUUCCUUUUUUUUUUCUUUUUUUUUUGUUUCUCUUGUAGUUUGACUAUACUAUCUCUAUAUAUUUUUGACUAACAAAGCCUAUUCUCUUAAUAAUAGUAUAGAUAGAUAGAUAUAUAGAUUUUAUGAGUAUGAAAGUUUAUUAAUAUUUCAGGGUUAUUUUGGUACCAUUUUUCAGUUUUGACUAACGAAACCCCUUCUGUUAAUAAUAGUAUAGAUAAAUUCAUUGAAUCGAAAUCCUUAAUAAAAAAAAGACAUGUGUCAAAUAGGCUACUUUGUAUUUGGGCUUCCGAAAUUAAAACCCUCAAGUCCAAAUCACCAUACUCAAACGGGGCCUUGGACUGCAUGACGCACUUGGAAUUGGGAUAAAGUGUUGGGCUCGUCGAAAUAAUUGAACGAAAGGCCCAACUAGAAAUUCGGUAACCUGAGCAGGUAUAUAAACUGUCUCAGUAGUCAAUCGAGAUCGAUCUCGCAAUAGAGAGAAUGUCGGGGUUGUCGAAGGUUUUGGCUCUCUCAAAGGAGGUUUUGGGUCUCUCAAGGGGCGUGCCCAUGGCCUUUUCUGAAAAGGCGGAUGCCGUUGUUGAGGCCGCAUGGCUUGCAUCUUUAGCCUACUUCGCAUACAACACGGCCCCGUUGUAUUAUGAAGCCUUCAAACUGAAAUUUCAGCUCCACAGGUUAACUCAGGAACAGAAGCGUCAAGCAUUCCGACCAAAGUCAACAUAAGACCUGAUCUAUAUUUAAUUUGGUUUACUACUCUUUGUGCAUGUUAUGUAAUGGAUAUUUGAGAUAGUCAUCCUAUUGCAUUCGACUAAAGGCAACAUAAGACCUGAUCUAUAUUUAAUUUAGUUUGCUACUCUUUGUGCAUGUUAUGUAAUGGAUAUGCUUGCCUUUUAGGAUGACUAUCUCUUGAUAGAGGUUUUAAGACAUUGCAAGGGCUUUGGCUACGUUUGUAUCUCGCUUAAUAAAAUUCUCAUUAAGAGUACGAGGUAAA